rnacentral:rRNA from 1 species
GACCUCGGAUCAGGUAGGGAUACCCGCUGAACUUAAGCAUAUCAAUAAGCGGAGGAAAAGAAACCAACAGGGAUUGCCUUAGUAACGGCGAGUGAAGCGGCAACAGCUCAAAUUUGAAAUCUGGCCUCAUGGUCCGAAUUGUAAUUUGUAGAGGAUGCUUCGAGCAUGGUCUGGUCUAAGUUCCUUGGAACAGGACGUCAUAGAGGGUGAGAAUCCCGUAUGCGACUAGGUGCCUAAGCUCAUGUGAAGCUUCUUCGACGAGUCGAGUUGUUUGGGAAUGCAGCUCAAAAUGGGUGGUAAAUUUCAUCUAAAGCUAAAUACUGGCCAGAGACCGAUAGCGCACAAGUAGAGUGAUCGAAAGAUGAAAAGCACUUUGGAAAGAGAGUUAAACAGUACGUGAAAUUGUUGAAAGGGAAGCGC